GACAUUUGGUAGAGACUGUUGAAGCCACCUGGUCCCAUCAGACCCCAGUAAAUGGCCACAUUCGCUGGUGCUGGAACCAGGUCAUUAAGGGUGAAGCCUGGUGCCAGAUGUGU
ensembl:rRNA 5S_rRNA 5S ribosomal RNA